rnacentral:rRNA from 1 species
AGCAGCCGCCGCGGUAAUACGUAGGUGGCGAGCGUUGUCCGGAUUUAUUGGGCGUAAAGGGAGUGUAGGCGGUCUUUUAAGUCUGAUGUGAAAGCCCACGGCUCAACCGUGGAGGGUCAUUGGAAACUGGGAGACUUGAGUGCAGAAGAGGAGAGCGGAAUUCCAUGUGUAGCGGUGAAAUGCGUAGAUAUAUGGAGGAACACCAGUGGCGAAGGCGGCUCUCUGGUCUGUAACUGACGCUGAGGCUCGAAAGCGUGGGGAGCAAACAGGAUUAGAUACCCCAGUAGUCCCUGUCUCUUAUAC